UACGUAGGGACCAAGCGUUGUUCGGAUUUACUGGGCGUAAAGGGCGCGUAGGCGGCGUGGUAAGUCAGUUGUGAAAUCUCCGAGCUUAACUCGGAACGGCCAACUGAUACUGCUGUGCUAGAGUGCAGAAGGGGCAAUCAGAAUUCUUGGUGUAGCGGUGAAAUGCGUAGAUAUCGGGAGGAACAUCAGUGGCGAAGGCGGCUACCUGGCCCAAUACUGACACUCAGGUGCGACAGCGUGGGGAGCAAACAGG
rnacentral:rRNA from 1 species